CGGGGCUCAACGCCUUGUAAUUGGAAUGAUGGGAACCUAAACCCCUUCCAGAGUAUCAAUUGGAGGGCAAGUCUGGUGCCAGCAGCCGCGGUAAUUCCAGCUCCAAUAGCGUAUAUUAAAAUUGUUGCAGUUAAAAAGCUCGUAGUUGAAUUUCUGCCGCAUCGCGGCGGCCCUCCCGGGCCCAGCGUUGCGGCUUAUUUCGGACUCGCUUGCGUCUCCGAAUGUUUACUUUGAGAAAAUUAGAGUGCUCAAAGCAGGCCCUUGCCUUGAAUACUUUAGCAUGGAAUAAUAAAGUAGGACUUUGGUUCUAUUUUGUUGGUUUAGCGCCAAAGUAAUGGUUAAUAGGAACAGUUGGGGGCAUUCGUAUUUAACUGUCAGAGGUGAAAUUCUUAGAUUUGUUAAAGACGAACCACUGCGAAAGCAUUUGCCAAGGAUGUUUUCAUUAAUCAAGAA
rnacentral:rRNA from 1 species